UACGUAGGGGGCAAACGUUAUCCGGAAUUACUGGGUGUAAAGGGAGCGUAGACGGUAAUGUAAGUCUGGAGUGAAAGGCGGGGGCCCAACCCCCGGACUGCUCUGGAAACUAUGUUACUAGAGUGCAGGAGAGGUAAGCGGAAUUCCUAGUGUAGCGGUGAAAUGCGUAGAUAUUAGGAGGAACACCAGUGGCGAAGGCGGCUUACUGGACUGUAACUGACGUUGAGGCUCGAAAGCGUGGGGAGCAAACAGG
rnacentral:rRNA from 1 species